AGCGGUACUUUCAAUGCCUUUAACAAUAUUAUUUGGUCAAAUAAGAUGGUUUAAUGGAAGACACUUGAGCAAGUUGACUGUUCCACUUCUGAUAUGACUUUAUAGGGUUAAGAUGGAAUGGAAAUUUUUUUGCACUCAUUAGUCUGACUUAUAAUUUUUAAUUUUCAAAAAAAAAAAUCCGCGAUUGCUAAAGAUAUUUACAGAAUUACUGCGUGCUGACAAAUUGCAGCCAUUAAAAUGUUAUAGCGAUAACAAGGAUGUU